CCAAAAUCAGACCGGAAGGGCCGAACCGGUUGAACCGGGGCCCAAACCGGACCCAUGGGUUCAACCGGGCCCCUAACAUAAAUGAAGCAGCAGCUUCAUCUUCUCCAUUUCACCACAGCAACGAAAAACACAGCAAGGGGGAGAAGAGAAGAAACCUAACCCUCACCAUUCCUUCCAACUACCAUAACUUCCUCAUCCGGGCUCCGAUUGCCGCACCGUUCGCGGCCACGCGCUCAGCGCGUCGAGCUCUACCUUUCUAUCCAAACAAUUUCUCUGGUUCAAGUUAGCUUCCGGAACUUUUGGGCUCAAGCUAUUGAGCAUAUGGGUAUGGUAAGAACACCCUAACCCUAGCUCAAUCUUGUUUUUGGUAAUAGAGAACUGAAUUGGAACAUAUAUAUGUGUAUUAGGUGUAGUUUAAGAGGGUGUUUAUGCAUUGAACUUGAAUUUGGAUUACUUGGAACUUUGUUGGUGACAAGGCUUGCUUUGGGGCUAUUUGAUUGAGCUUCGAGGGGCUGUGAUUUUAUGUUGAGAAGCUGCCUUGGGUGAAUUAAGUGAUCGGCCAAGAUGCAGGUCGAGAGGCUCCUCGCUAGACGUCUGGAUCUUGGGAAGCGAAGUAGUCCUUGGGUGUAUUUUGGUUUUUGGUUGUAUAUAUGUAUAUAUUUGUUUAGCUUACUCUCCAAGUAACUUGUGUAUGCUGCUCCUCUUAGAGGAUUAGGGAGAGAUAGGAGUUUACUUUGAUGUUUUGGUGUAUUUUGGGGAUACUUAAGUAUGUUUAUAUGUAUAUAUAUAUAUCCUCCGGCCAGCCUUAGCUUCGCAGGCUGAGUCAGGGGCUAGUUAUGCUGUUACCUUGGCUUUCCUUUAUCCUUCUGCUUAUCUUUAUCAUGUUCCUAUUAGGUC